AUGAAAUCAAAACUUAUACUAAAAAAAAUUGGAACGAUACAGAGAAGAUUAGUAUGGCCCAUGUGCAAGGAUAACACGCAAAUUCAUGAAGCAUUCCAUAUUAAA